rnacentral:lncRNA from 1 species
AUGAGAAACUUGAAGGAGUCAGUCCACAAUAAUUUCUGGAGCAUCUACUUUGUACUACCUGCUGUUCUAGGCACUGUGGUCUCACUGGUAACAAGGACAGAACUACUGUCCCCAAGGAGUUAUGUUCUAAUUGGUGGAUGGGAGGACACAGAUUGGGAACACAGAAACAAAUAAGACAGGGUCUUGCUCUGUCUCCCAAGCUGGAGUGUAGCAGCAUGAUCAUGGCUCACUGUGCAGCCUCAACCUCCUGGGCUCAAGUAAUCCUCCUGCCUCAGCCUCCCAAGUAGCUGGGACUAUAGGUAUGUACCACCACACCUGGCUAAUUUUUGUAUUUUCUAUAGAGACAGAGUUUCACCAUGUUGCCUAAGCUGGCCUC